rnacentral:snoRNA from 1 species
UCUGUGAAUACUCUCCAAGAGGUCACUCUCCCCAGGCUCUGUGUAGGUGGCACGGGGGCGGGAGGGGGGGGGCACAGGGUUCUGCCCUACAACAUUCAGUCUCUUUCUACGACACAACAUUGGAGAUGAAGCCGGACUUCAAGUCUGUGCCUGCAUAUUCCUGGUACUUCUCAGGGUCUUGCUGACUGAGGAGACAAGCAUGCAGGAAAAGGCC